GUCUACAGCUACACCACCCAGAACGCACCUGAUCUCAUCUGAUCUCAGAAGCUAAGCAGGGCUGGACCUGGUUACUACUUGAAAGCAGCCUUAGAUUAUCAGUGAAGUGAACA
rnacentral:rRNA from 1 species